rnacentral:rRNA from 1 species
GACCAUCCUCCAAGGCUAAAUACUCCUGACUGACCGAUAGUGAACCAGUACCGUGAGGGAAAGGCGAAAAAGACCCCGGCGAGGGGAGUGAAAAAGAACCUGAAACCGUGUACGUACAAGCAGUGGGAGCACCUUCGGGUGUGACUGCGUACCUUUUGUAUAAUGGGUCAGCGACUUAUAUUCUGUAGCAAGGUUAACCGUAUAGGGGAGCCGCAGGGAAACCGAGUCUUAACUG